UUGCGUUGGACACUGCCAAACUAGACUACUGGACAGGUAGGCGGAACUACAAGUGUAGAGGUGAAAUUCGUAGAUAUUUGUAGGAAUGCCGAUGGGGAGACCAGCCUACUGGACAGAUACUGACGCUAAAGCGCGAAAGCGUGGGUAGCAAA
rnacentral:rRNA from 1 species